GUAGUAUUUUAUUGAUACUCUUUGUAACAACAAAUGUAUAUAUAAACUAUCAAAUCGUAAAAUUUAUUUCAAAGUUUUACAACAAUUUCACAUUAACAACCUCUCAUGUUAUUUUAUCUCUUUAAAUAUCAAUAUCAAGAAUAAUUUCUAAUAAACAAACUUGUUCAUAACCUCAUUUUUUUUCUUUAACUUCAGUUUACAUAAUGUUUGACUGCACUUAAUCUGGGGUUGCAACUCAAUCAGGCAAGUUUGACCGUAGAUAGUUUUGGCUGUCUUAUCAAAGACUUUUUUGUAAUUAGAUUUUUAUGUAUCAGAUCAUAAACAUUUUUUGAAGCAACUGCUUCCAAUGUAUACAUUACAGUAUCCUACUGGGAACCAAUAUCA
rnacentral:lncRNA from 1 species